rnacentral:rRNA from 1 species
CGGGACACGUGGUAUCCUGUCUGAAUAUGGGGGGACCAUCCUCCAAGGCUAAAUACUCCUGACUGACCGAUAGUGAACCAGUACCGUGAGGGAAAGGCGAAAAGAACCCCGGCGAGGGGAGUGAAAAAGAACCUGAAACCGUGUACGUACAAGCAGUGGGAGCCUCUUUAUGGGGUGACUGCGUACCUUUUGUAUAAUGGGUCAGCGACUUAUAUUCUGUAGCAAGGUUAACCGAAUAGGGGAGCCGAAGGGAAACCGAGUCUUAACUGGGCGUUAAGUUGCAGGGUAUAGACCCGAAACCCGGUGAUCUAGCCAUGGGCAGGUUGAAGGUUGGGUAACACUAACUGGAGGACCGAACCGACUAAUGUUGAAAAAUUAGCGGAUGACUUGUGGCUGGGGGUGAAAGGCCAAUCAAACCGGGAGAUAGCUGGUUCUCCCCGAAAGCUAUUUAGGUAGCGCCUCGUGAAUUCAUCUCCGGGGGUAGAGCACUGUUUCGGCAAGGGGGUCAUCCCGACUUACCAACCCGAUGCAAACUGCGAAUACCGGAGAAUGUUAUCACGGGAGACACACGGCGGGUGCUAACGUCCGUCGUGAAGAGGGAAACAACCCAGACCGCCAGCUAAGGUCCCAAAGUCAUGGUUAAGUGGGAAACGAUGUGGGAAGGCCCAGACAGCCAGGAUGUUGGCUUAGAAGCAGCCAUCAUUUAAAGAAAGCGUAAUAGCUCACUGGUCGAGUCGGCCUGCGCGGAAGAUGUAACGGGGCUAAACCAUGCACCGAAGCUGCGGCAGCGACGCUUAUGCGUUGUUGGGUAGGGGAGCGUUCUGUAAGCCUGCGAAGGUGUACUGUGAGGUAUGCUGGAGGUAUCAGAAGUGCGAAUGCUGACAUAAGUAACGAUAAAGCGGGUGAAAAGCCCGCUCGCCGGAAGACCAAGGGUUCCUGUCCAACGUUAAUCGGGGCAGGGUGAGUCGACCCCUAAGGCGAGGCCGAAAGGCGUAGUCGAUGGGAAACAGGUUAAUAUUCCUGUACUUGGUGUUACUGCGAAGGGGGGACGGAGAAGGCUAUGUUGGCCGGGCGACGGUUGUCCCGGUUUAAGCGUGUAGGCUGGUUUUCCAGGCAAAUCCGGAAAAUCAAGGCUGAGGCGUGAUGACGAGGCACUACGGUGCUGAAGCAACAAAUGCCCUGCUUCCAGGAAAAGCCUCUAAGCAUCAGGUAACAUCAAAUCGUACCCCAAACCGACACAGGUGGUCAGGUAGAGAAUACCAAGGCGCUUGAGAGAACUCGGGUGAAGGAACUAGGCAAAAUGGUGCCGUAACU